rnacentral:rRNA from 1 species
UACGGAGGGUGCAAGCGUUAUCCGGAUUCACUGGGUUUAAAGGGUGCGUAGGUGGGAAUGUAAGUCAGUGGUGAAAUCUCCGUGCUUAACAUGGAAACUGCCAUUGAUACUAUGUUUCUUGAAUUUUUCUGGAGGUCAGCGGAAUAUGUCAUGUAGCGGUGAAAUGCUUAGAUAUGACAUAGAACACCAAUUGCGAAAGGCAGCUGGCUACAGGGAUAUUGACACUGAGGCACGAAAGCGUGGGGAUCAAACAGG